CAGUCGCCGCGGUAAAACGGAGGGUGCAAGCGUUAUCCGGAUUUACUGGGUUUAAAGGGUGUGUAGGCGGGCUAUUAAGUCAGGGGUGAAAUCUCCGAGCUCAACUCGGAAACUGCCUUUGAUACUAUUAGUCUUGAAUUAUGUUGAGGUUGGCGGAAUAUAACAUGUAGCGGUGAAAUGCAUAGAUAUGUUAUAGAACACCGAUUGCGAAGGCAGCUGACUAAGCAUAUAUUGACGCUGAUGCACGAAAGCGUGGGGAUCAAACAGGAUUAGAUACCCCCGUAGUCCCUGUCUCUUAUAA
rnacentral:rRNA from 1 species